rnacentral:rRNA from 1 species
GUUUGAUGUUCUAACGUGGACCCGUAAUCCGGGUUGCGGACAGUGUCUGGUGGGUAGUUUGACUGGGGCGGUCUCCUCCUAAAGAGUAACGGAGGAGCACGAAGGUUGGCUAAUCCUGGUCGGACAUCAGGAGGUUAGUGCAAUGGCAUAAGCCAGCUUGACUGCGAGCGUGACGGCGCGAGCAGGUGCGAAAGCAGGUCAUAGUGAUCCGGUGGUUCUGAAUGGAAGGGCCAUCGCUCAACGGAUAAAAGGUACUCCGGGGAUAACAGGCUGAUACCGCCCAAGAGUUCAUAUCGACGGCGGUGUUUGGCACCUCGAUGUCGGCUCAUCACAUCCUGGGGCUGAAGUAGGUCCCAAGGGUAUGGCUGUUCGCCAUUUAAAGUGGUACGCGAGCUGGGUUUAGAACGUCGUGAGACAGUUCGGUCCCUAUCUGCCGUGGGCGCUGGAAGACUGAGGGGGGCUGCUCCUAGUACGAGAGGACCGGAGUGGACGCAUCACUGGUGUUCGGGUUGUCAUGCCAAUGGCACUGCCCGGUAGCUAAAUGCGGAAAAGAUAAGUGCUGAAAGCAUCUAAGCACGAAACUUGCCCC